rnacentral:rRNA from 1 species
GCGUAAGCGAGCGUAGGUGGCUUGAUAAGUCAGAUGUGAAAUCCCCGGGCUUAACCUGGGAACUGCAUCUGAUACUGUUAAGCUAGAGUAGGUGAGAGGGAAGUAGAAUUCCAGGUGUAGCGGUGAAAUGCGUAGAGAUCUGGAGGAAUACCGAUGGCGAAGGCAGCUUCCUGGCAUCAUACUGACACUGAGGCUCGAAAGCGUGGGUAGCAAACAGGAUUAGAUACCCUGGUAGUCCACGCCGUAAACGAUGUCUACUAGUCGUUGGGUCCCUUGAGGACUUAGUGACGCAGCUAACGCAAUAAGUAGACCGCCUGGGGAGUACGGCCGCAAGGUUAAAACUCAAAUGAAUUGACGGGGGCCCGCACAAGCGGUGGAGCAUGUGGUUUAAUUCGAUGCAACGCGAAGAACCUUACCUGGUCUUGACAUACACAGAAUCUUGUAGAGAUACGAGAGUGCCUUCGGGAAUUGUGAUACAGGUGCUGCAUGGCUGUCGUCAGCUCGUGUCGUGAGAUGUUGGGUUAAGUCCCGCAACGAGCGCAACCCUUGUCCUUAGUUACCAGCGGGUUUAAGCCGGGAACUCUAAGGAUACUGCCAGUGACAAACUGGAGGAAGGCGGGGACGACGUCAAGUCAUCAUGGCCCUUACGACCAGGGCUACACACGUGCUACAAUGGUAGGUACAGAGGGCAGCUACACAGCGAUGUGAUGCGAAUCUCAAAAAGCCUAUCGUAGUCCAGAUUGGAGUCUGCAACUCGACUCCAUGAAGUAGGAAUCGCUAGUAAUCGCGGAUCAGAAUGCCGCGGUGAAUACGUUCCCGGGCCUUGUACACACCGCCCGUCACACCAUGGGAGUUGAUUGCACCAGAAGUGGUUAGCCUA